rnacentral:rRNA from 1 species
CCCUAGUAUAAUAUAUUUAAGAAAUUAGUAAGGUUGAAAUUUAAAAUUUUUGGCGGUUGAUUUUUGUUUAGAGGAGCUUGUUUAUAGAAUUUACUCUUUAUAUUUAAUUUAUAGAAGUUUAUUUAUCUCCGUUAUAAGAUGAAAGUUGGUAAAAUUUCUAGGUUUUAUUUCAGGUCAAGAUGUAGCUACUAUAAAGAUUAAUUAGCUACAUUUAUGUAAUAAUGGAAUAUGAGAUUGAAAAGGGUGUGAAAUUGAAUUUAGUUGUAAUAGAUUUUAGAAAAAUUUUAUGAAAUUUUUGAAUCAAUGUA